rnacentral:rRNA from 1 species
CCGAAGACCCCUAAAAUUCUGGUAUCUAUGGCGUCCGAGCGAAUCUUUAAUAGUUAAAACUUUCAACAACGGAUCUCUUGGUUCUGGCAUCGAUGAAGAACGCAGCGAAAUGCGAUAAGUAAUGUGAAUUGCAGAAUUCAGUGAAUCAUCGAAUCUUUGAACGCAUAUUGCGCCCUCUGGUAUUCCGGAGGGCAUGCCUGUUCGAGCGUCAUUAAAACUCUCAAGCUCUGCUUGGUAUUGGGAUCCGCCCGCCGUGGCGCGCCCGAAAAGCAGCGGUGGUUCAGCGAGACUUCAAGCGUAGUAAGAUUUUCAAUCCCGCUUCCGAAGCUUCCGUAGGGCUUGCCAAUAAAACUCAAGUAUAACUACUUCUACGAUUGGCCUCGGAUCAGGUAGGGAUACCCGCUGAACUUAAGCAUAUCAAUAAGCGGAGGAAAAGAAACCAACAGGGAUUGCCUCAGUAACGGCGAGUGAAGCGGCAACAGCUCAAAUUUGAAAUCUGGCCUCUUCGGGGUCCGAGUUGUAAUUUGUAGAGGGUGUUUCGGGGGAGGCGCCGGCCUAAGUCCCUUGGAACAGGGCGUCAUAGAGGGUGAGAAUCCCGUAUGCGGCCGGUGACCAACCCCGUGUGAAAA